rnacentral:lncRNA from 1 species
UACCAAAAAAAAAAGCUCCUCUUCUCACUCAAAAUCAACUUAUUAAGCAUAAUAAUCCUCUUCCCAUCAAUUGGGUGGCAUAGACUCAUGGUUAUUGGCUCAUUGCAGCCGGGUUCCCGUGAUAUUCCAGUUGGCAGUUCCCCCAACUAAUUUCCCCAAUUGUGAUGCGAGCGUUUCCCCGAACUAACCAAUGGAUGGAC